AUGUGCCCUCUUAGGGUUAUUCUGAUUUUCUUGUCCGCAACUCUCGCCGGAUUCUUCGUCCUAAGAAAUCUAAGAUCUCAACCUAAGAUCGACGAUGAAGAUGAAGAUGCUAUUCUUCCUUCAAACCCUAAAAUCUUAGAUUCUUCAAAUGCUGCAUCGAAUGGAAAUUCUAAGGUUUGGAAUGCGUUGGAAUUUGGGUUUUGGACCUUUGUUGAUAUGGCUAGCGGGCGUUAUCUUUGGAGGCAUGUGGUUUCUUCUUCUUCAAAGCGCUCCAGCUGA